CCCUAGCCCUGAUGGAAGCGGCAUCCUUUCCUGCGGGGGUUCCGCAGGAAAGAUACAGCGGACAGCAGGAAUAAGC
rnacentral:sRNA from 1 species